UUUCACACUUUCAUUCAACAAAUAUUGGUUGAGGUCCUCCUAUGUGCCAGGCCCUGAGCCAGGCACUGGGACUGCAGCUAUGAAUCGAAGUCUAUUCACUGGACUCAAAUUUCCCAUAGGAGUAUUGACAGCUCAGGAAAAAGAGGGCUCCUAUUUAAAAAAAAAAAAAAAAAAAAAAAACCUGGGUGUUUUAGGCUGCUCCAGCUCUCACUAUCUUUAUCCUGCCUUUUCCAGGUGAAAUCUCAGGUCAGGCCCACCCCACCAUGGCCAUGGUGACUUCAUCCACCAAAAACACUGGAAAGCCAAAAUGGCAAACUUGGCAACUACCUCCUAUGAACUGAAGUCAAAACUUCAAUGACAUGUCUCAUUUGAACUUCAUUACUUUAAAAGGUAUGAUUUGGAAGAUUUCACACAAAAAAUUUACAUUUCUGCCUCUCCUGGAAAAUGAGAAGGCCUAGCUCUUCAGCCCUGCAUCCCCACCAGGUAACCUGGAGUUGACAGCAGUAUCUUGUGGGUGGUGUGGGCAGGCGUCCUCACUCACUCUCCUGCUCAGCUUUGAAGGGGGAGUGAUAUGGCAUGAUUCAAUUUUAAAAAGUUUACCCUGGCUGGAUGAUGGACUUAGUUGGAUAGACACUCAGGUGGAUGCACCCAGAAUCUGAUUGCUUCUCGGCAACCCACCACCUUCUUAGUAUAAGCCACCAAUCUCUCCCACCUAGACAAUUAUAACAGCCCCCUAACUUCCCUGUUCUGUGGUCUCUUCUCACAGGCAACCUGAAUGGUACCUGAUGAGAAUGUACUCAAAACCUCCAAUGGCUCCCAUCUAACUUGGAAUCCAACCCAAAGUCUUUCCCAGAGUCUACAUAGCCUCUGCUCACCUCUCUGGCCUCUCCUGUCACCUUCUCCUGUGCUCCUGGCACAUUCUGGCCUCCCUGUAGCUUUCCAGCAAGCCAAAUGCUCUCCUCCUACCAUUCACCUUUGCAUGCACUGUUCCAGUCUUGCUGUCUUCUUGUCCUAGAGUUCAGCUGCCUGACAACUUCCCAACCCUGGCUGUCUGCUUCUGUUGCUUCAUUCCCCUGCCAACUGAGAUUGAACAGGAUCCCAUAUCACUCCUGUCCUUCACCGUUGCUCCACCUCUCUGUUCUGUUUCAUUCUUCACACAUUACUAACUAACAGAACGUCUGUUUGAUAUCAGUCUCUGCCCUUGGCAAAAUCUGCACUAAGAGUCUCUGCUGUGCCACAGAACCCAACACAGACACAGCACAUGGGUGUGCACAGCAACUACUGUGGAGAGAGUGGCUGAGAAAUGGUCCACAGCAGGGCUGUCUUGUGAGGCUAAAGGCAAGAUCAUAGGGAUGUGGCCAAGGUAGUGUGGUGGACAUGGAACAAGAAGCACUAUCUGGAAGCUCUCCAGGACAACUGUGGUAAUGGGCCUCAGAAUGCUCUCCAGUCCUCUGAUUUGGACAGCCACAUGGAAGAUGGUUGUAUUCAUCCAGAAGAGUCACCAGGAGCUAUCAGGCUGGAGGGAAGGCUGUGAAUUUACGUUUAGACAUCGGACAUUGUGUGGGAAGUACAAGACAUAAAGAUGCCAGAAGAUGGACUUUCUACACUUGCUCUGAGAUCUAUCUGCUUAGUACAAAGGACAUGAGAAUCCAUUGCUAACAGAGGAGUUAGAUGCUCUGGAUUUUGGGCUGGUAGCCUCUUUUUUCUGUAUCAAGCAGCACCUGGCAGCAAAAGAUGAGGAACACUAACCAAAGGGACUCUCCACACCUAGUAACCCUACUACCUACAGGCUGUUGAACUCAGGGUAGGACAAGAGGGCUCCAAGAAGCAACUGACUGACUCAUCGAUACAACUGUGUCCUUUAAUAAAGUGAAGACUUGCUUUCUUUAA